rnacentral:lncRNA from 1 species
AUGCUGGGACCCAGCAGCCAAGGGCAGCCCUUGACUUGGACGUGCUUCUCGGCUCCCGUGUUGUCGUCCGGAAUGAAUGGGGCUUUUCUCUUGACGGGCUGUGUGUGCGGGCAGGGGCCACAGGAGACCUGCAGGAGAGACACAGGUGGCCUCGCGGUGACCUCGCUUGGCAGAGGGUCUGGCCGGGCGCCUUCCUCUCCUGCUGUUGUCCAAGCUCCAGUCAGCCUGACCUCAGGGCCCUAUGGACGUUGGGCUGUUUUCUUGUUUGCCUGCUGCAGCCAAAAGACCAAACCAUGUGGCAAGGGCGGGGGGGGGGGGGUUGGAGGAGGGAGGGGGCAGCAGGUGGGCCAUAGACCAGAGGGGAAGAAAACCUCGCCUCCCCCAGGAGAAGGGAGCAAACUGUGGGCAGAGUCUGAGCGUAGAGGGAGAGAUACUCCAUCCACUGGUGCACUCCCCAAACGGCAACAGCAGCCAGGGCCGGGGGCUGGGGCCCAAGCAUCUGGGCCCUCUUUGGCGGCCUUUUCAGGUGCAUUAGCAGGCAGCUGGAUCAGAAGCGGGGCAGCCCCAGACAUGAACCUGUGCCCCCAUGUUGGAUGCCCGUGUCACAAGCCUCCGCUUAACCCCUGGAGCCACGACGCAGGCCCUGAGGCUGAGCAGUUUUGUGGAGGUCAGGGCUGUUCCCUGCCACGUGGAGGUGGGGGUGGCCCUUCGCUGGAGGCUGGGGUCCCUGUGGCGGGACUGUGGGUCUCCAUGCUGCGCUCGGCUGUGUUUCAUUGUGACCAACACUGCCUGAGCUCUGAGCUCUGGGAAGCUGUGAGAGAUCAAGAGAGGGGUUCUACGGCUGUACAGGGCUGGGGUCUCCUCUAUAACUGGGGAUGCCCUAGGCCCAGGCACUUCCCAGGGCCCCGGGCAGCAGCCAUAGGCUGGGCAAGGAAGAACAAAGGGCUUGCUGUGCCCACCGGGGGCAUGCUCAGCGCUCCCUGCGAGUUGCUUUGCCAGGACUGGGGUCUGGAAAUCACGCUGGUGGGGUCUGGAGCCCUCACCGGGAGGAUUUUCACGGAAGAGUGGUGA